ACUGAGUGAGCAAAGAUAAUGCAGUUGACUUAGGAUCAACGAUCAAAGGUACAAAUCCUUUAUUUAGUA
rnacentral:tRNA from 1 species